rnacentral:piRNA from 1 species
UCCAAGGUCACACAGCCAGAACUGGCAGA